rnacentral:rRNA from 1 species
UACGUAGGGACCAAGCGUUGUUCGGAUUUACUGGGCGUAAAGGGCGCGUAGGCGGCGCGGUAAGUCACUUGUGAAAUCUCUGAGCUUAACUCAGAACGGCCAAGUGAUACUGCAGUGCUAGAGUGUGGAAGGGGCAAUCGGAAUUCUUGGUGUAGCGGUGAAAUGCGUAGAUAUCAAGAGGAACACCUGAGGUGAAAACGGGUUGCUGGGCCAACACUGACGCUGAGGCGCGAAAGCCAGGGGAGCAAACGGG